CGAAUGCUGACAUAAGUAACGAUAAAGCGGGUGAAAAGCCCGCUCGCCGGAAGACCAAGGGUUCCUGUCCAACGUUAAUCGGGGCAGGGUGAGUCGACCCCUAAGGCGAGGCCGAAAGGCGUAGUCGAUGGGAAACAGGUUAAUAUUCCUGUACUUGGUGUUACUGCGAAGGGGGGACGGAGAAGGCUAUGUUGGCCGGGCGACGGUUGUCCCGGUUUAAGCGUGUAGGCUGGUUUUCCAGGCAAAUCCGGAAAAUCAAGGCUGAGGCGUGAUGACGAGGCACUACGGUGCUGAAGCAACAAAUGCCCUGCUUCCAGGAAAAGCCUCUAAGCAUCAGGUAACAUCAAAUCGUACCCCAAACCGACACAGGUGGUCAGGUAGAGAAUACCAAGGCGCUUGAGAGAACUCGGGUGAAGGAACUAGGCAAAAUGGUGCCGUAACUUCGGGAGAAGGCACGCUGAUAUGUAGGUGAAGUCCCUCGCGGAUGGAGCUGAAAUCAGUCGAAGAUACCAGCUGGCUGCAACUGUUUAUUAAAAACACAGCACUGUGCAAACACGAAAGUGGACGUAUACGGUGUGACGCCUGCCCGGUGCCGGAAGGUUAAUUGAUGGGGUUAGCGCAAGCGAAGCUCUUGAUCGAAGCCCCGGUAAACGGCGGCCGUAACUAUAACGGUCCUAAGGUAGCGAAAUUCCUUGUCGGGUAAGUUCCGACCUGCACGAAUGGCGUAAUGAUGGCCAGGCUGUCUCCACCCGAGACUCAGUGAAAUUGAACUCGCUGUGAAGAUGCAGUGUACCCGCGGCAAGACGGAAAGACCCCGUGAACCUUUACUAUAGCUUGACACUGAACAUUGAGCCUUGAUGUGUAGGAUAGGUGGGAGGCUUUGAAGUGUGGACGCCAGUCUGCAUGGAGCCGACCUUGAAAUACCACCCUUUAAUGUUUGAUGUUCUAACGUGGACCCGUAAUCCGGGUUGCGGACAGUGUCUGGUGGGUAGUUUGACUGGGGCGGUCUCCUCCUAAAGAGUAACGGAGGAGCACGAAGGUUGGCUAAUCCUGGUCGGACAUCAGGAGGUUAGUGCAAUGGCAUAAGCCAGCUUGACUGCGAGCGUGACGGCGCGAGCAGGUGCGAAAGCAGGUCAUAGUGAUCCGGUGGUUCUGAAUGGAAGGGCCAUCGCUCAACGGAUAAAAGGUACUCCGGGGAUAACAGGCUGAUACCGCCCAAGAGUUCAUAUCGACGGCGGUGUUUGGCACCUCGAUGUCGGCUCAUCACAUCCUGGGGCUGAAGUAGGUCCCAAGGGUAUGGCUGUUCGCCAUUUAAAGUGGUACGCGAGCUGGGUUUAGAACGUCGUGAGACAGUUCGGUCCCUAUCUGCCGUGGGCGCUGGAGAACUGAGGGGGGCUGCUCCUAGUACGAGAGGACCGGAGUGGACGCAUCACUGGUGUUCGGGUUGUCAUGCCAAUGGCACUGCCCGGUAGCUAAAUGCGGAAGAGAUAAGUGCUGAAAGCAUCUAAGCACGAAACUUGCCCCGAGAUGAGUUCUCCCUGACUCCUUGAGAGUCCUGAAGGAACGUUGAAGACGACGACGUUGAUAGGCCGGGUGUGUAAGCGCAGCGAUGCGUUGAGCUAACCGGUACUAAUGAACCGUGAG
rnacentral:rRNA from 1 species